rnacentral:lncRNA from 1 species
CAGCAGCAGGCUCAGUGGAGUUCACACGGGGAAUGAGCACUUGACGAAAAACAGGAACCUCCUUAUAUGGUAGUGGUGGGGGGCUACCGGUAGGCCAGCAUGCUCACUGGGAUGGAGUUACAAAAUGUUCCGGAAAGGCAUAGUGGGUGGCAGCAGUGCUGCCCAAUAGCACAAACUGUUACAUUUCUAGAACAAAACAUUCCGUGGGAAAAAAAAAAACACACUGGAGGCAAGGCAAAGGCCUGUCUUACCGUGUAGUGUUACUCUGUCAAUGUAAGAAUUAAAAUGCACCCCCCCACCCCGUGUCUCUCUCUCGCGCUCGCUCGCUCUCUCUCUCUCGCUCUCGCUCUCUCUCUGACUCUGUCGUUCUGAGAGUCUCAUUAUGUUGUCCGGGUUGACCCCGAGCUGGCCUGGAACUCACUACAUUGAGCAUUCAAUCCUCGAACUCGCCAUCUUGCCUCGGGCCCUGCCCAUGGGAUUACAGACGUGCGCCACCACGCCCACUCGGGUUCCACGCACUUGACUCUUGUGGCCAGCCGUCCCCUUCGCCCGCCCCACUUCCUGCUCUCGCGAGGGAUUGUGCCCCCCCCCCCGCCAGGACCACUAAACCCCCCCGCCAGGACCACUAAGGCCCAGUCCUCUCGGUCACCCACCAACCCACCCACGCCUUCCCGAAUCCAGCCUGCAGAGUGGAGGCUCCUACACAGUGGAAGAGGCUGGGAGACCCUACGCGCUUCACCGCAGGCCUGGCUGGAGAAGCAGCCCGGGAAGGUAACGAGGAACCACCCCGCAGGGUGCUGCCCUGAGAGACAAGGGUUGGACUCCUGUUCAGCUGCAGAGUGGGGAAGCGGCCUUGGAACCGAGCAGGGCAGUGAAGCUCAGCCGGUCCCAGCACCCAGAAGGAAGCUCCCCUGCUGCCAUCCCAGGCUCCUAGGGCCAAAAAGGUGAGCCAGUCCCAGCACCUGGAAGGAAGCUCCCCGCCACCAUCCCAGGCUCCUAGGGCAGAGAAGCUGAGCUGGUCCCAGCACCCGGAAGGAAGCUCCCCCGCUGCCAUCCCAAGCUCCUAGGGCAGAGAAGGUGAGCCGCGUGGGCGCCAGAAGCACCCACCCCCACCCCCACCUCACCCCACCCCACCCCGUAGAAAUGAGAAGACACAUUAAACAAGCCUCAAAAACAGACUUCCAGAUCACCUACAGCAAUCCCAAAGGGAAACGAGAUGGAACACUCUGAUACUCAACCACCUGGACUCUCUGAACUGGCAACAAAAGAGGAUCUGGGAAAAAUGAAAUCAGAAAUAAUUACUCAGAUAACAGCAAAGAUUUUGCUCAUGGUGCAAGACAUGAUUAAUAAAUCUAGAGAGGACACAGAUAAAAAAAUAGAGGAUCUGAGGAACAUGAUGGAAUCCCAACAUAAGAAAAAAAUGGAAU